rnacentral:rRNA from 1 species
UAAGGAAUAUUGCGCAAUGGGCGACAGCCUGACGCAGCGACGCCGCGUGGGGGAUGAAGGUCUUCGGAUUGUAAACCCCUUUCGGCAGGGAAGAUGGAACGGGUAACCGUUCGGACGGUACCUGCAGAAGCAGCCACGGCUAACUUCGUGCCAGCAGCCGCGGUAAUACGAAGGUGGCAAGCGUUGUUCGGAUUUACUGGGCGUACAGGGAGCGUAGGCGGUUGGGUAAGCCCUCCGUGAAAUCUCCGGGGCCUAACCCGGAAAGUGCGGAGGGGACUGCUCGGCUAGAGGAUGGGAGAGGAGCGCGGAAUUCCCGGUGUAGCGGUGAAAUGCGUAGAGAUCGGGAGGAAGGCCGGUGGCGAAGGCGGCGCUCUGGAACAUUUCUGACGCUGAGGCUCGAAAGCGUGGGGAGCAAACAGGAUUAGAUACCCAAGUAGUCCCUGAGCGGGCUGGCAAGGCGCAU